GAUGAACGCUGGCGGCGUGCCUAAUACAUGCAAGUCGAGCGAACAGAUGAGGAGCUUGCUCCUCUGACGUUAGCGGCGGACGGGUGAGUAACACGUGGAUAACCUACCUAUAAGACUGGGAUAACUUCGGGAAACCGGAGCUAAUACCGUAUAAUAUAUUGAACCGCAUGGUUCAAUAGUGAAAGACGGUGUUGCUGUCACUUAUAGAUGGAUCCGCGCCGCAUUAGCUAGUUGGUAAGGUAACGGCUUACCAAGGCAACGAUGCGUAGCCGACCUGAGAGGGUGAUCGGCCACACUGGAACUGAGACACGGUCCAGAGUCCUACGGGAGGCAGCAGUAGGGAAUCUGCCGCAAUGGGCGAAAGCCUGACGGAGCAACGCCGCGUGAGUGAUGACGGUCUUCGGAUCGUAAAACUCUGUUAUUAGGGAAGAACAAAUGUGUAAGUAACUAUGCACGUCUUGACGGUACCUAAUCAGAAAGCCACGGCUAACUACGUG
rnacentral:rRNA from 1 species